rnacentral:tRNA from 1 species
GUAAGUAUAGUUUAAUUAAAAAUACUAGAUUGUGGUUCUAGAGAUGGGGGUUAAAAUCCCCUUACUCACC